UUCAGAAGCACAAUAAAACCAGGAAUCGUUCAGGAUUCAAGCCAAGUGCACUGCUUAGUAUUCUCCCCUUGUCCACAUUAAGUGUCCCUAAUUCUUCAUCAAAUGUGUACGCGAUGGUUGAUGCAUAUACGCUGGUUUCUUCCCUUCGGGCUCAGCACACAGCAGACAGUUGUCAGAGAUUGUCGGAAAGAGACAGGAACCACUCCAAGAGCUGAGGGGGAAAAAUGCCUGAAACAGUUUGCUUUUUCUGAUUUGACAAUUGAGACCCUGGUUUGUUUUGAUUAUUGGAAAGCAGGUAGACUUGGGGCGUGUGCGUUUUUCCUUUUACAUUUGGAGAGUCCGUGGCAGAAAAAAAAGGGGACUGAUUUGAGCUCAGAGUGACUGUUCUUGGGGCACUGGCCUGCUGUAUCUAUGACUGACUGAUUAAUGGUGUUUUAAUAAAAGGGGAGAGAGAAGUCUUUUGUUGAGUUCUGCUCGGAGAGGUCUAUGAAGGAGCUAAUGCAAUUCCCACCGAUCUUCACCUGCUCAGACUAAGCUGCAAAGUCAGCUCUGCCUAUUGACAAGCAGUCGGCGGGCUUUGACUGAUUCCUGCAGAUGGAUAUAGCCGCAAGGGUACAGCCUUCAUUCCGUUUCUAUCCCUUCUCCAGCUUCUCCCACUGUGGAAAACUUCACCGUGUGCCAACAUCCCCAGACAGGAAUAUGCCUGGAAAAAUACAGAAAGGAUUUGCAGCAACACUUGUUCUCUUAUGCUAAGAAGGUACUGCUACAGAGAGCUGAUUUCCAAGCAUCAUCUUCACAAAGUGCCUGGGAAAGAAAAGCUAAUUGCUUCCUCCUUCAUGUGAAGAAUUGUUAAAUGUAAUCAAAUAAGGCAACCCUGGCUAUGGUAGAAUUCCAGCAAAAAUUUGAAAGUGUAGUAACACUGAGUUUGCUGACAGCUAUUUUCAAAAAUAUCUGGGAUCAGGAUCUCGAGGAUGCCAACAAAGUCACACAAACAAUGAGGGCCAUCAUCAUGUUGAGCUCAAUAGCAUCGCGAACACCCUGCAAAAAAAAACUUCGAUGCGCAGGUCAUAUCUCCCAUUAGGGUGACUGGAAUACUGAAGAUAAUCUUCAAUUCUGAACUGCCUCAAGACAUACAACAUCAAGAUGGUCAGUACAGACAAUACGAGGAUAGCAUUGAAAUAAAGUCUUUCAAACCCCCACAAUGUACAUGUAGUUCCAUGUAUUAA